GAUGAACGCUGGCGGCGUGCUUAACACAUGCAAGUCGAACGAUGAACCUGGGUGCUUGCAUCUGGGGGAUUAGUGGCGAACGGGUGAGUAACACGUGAGCAACCUGCCCCUGACUCUGGGAUAAGCGCUGGAAACGGCGUCUAAUACUGGAUAUGUCCUAUCACCGCAUGGUGUGUGGGUGGAAAGAUUUUUCGGUUGGG
rnacentral:rRNA from 1 species